rnacentral:RNase_P_RNA from 3 species
AAUUUCGGGUAAUCGCGGUUAGCUUUUGCUAGCUGAGGAAAGUCCAUGCCCGCACAGACUGCGAUGUCUGUAGUGUUCGUGCUUAGCCCAAUAAGCUAAGGUGCUUUUUUUAAAAGUAAUGGCGGAAUAAGCUGCUAAGGAUUUUAUUAUCUACGCAGUCACGUUCCUGAAAAGUGCCACAGUGACGAUGUCGGUUGGAAACAGCCGAUUUGGAACGGGUAAACCCCGCGAGCGAGUAACCCAAACUUUGGUAGGGGCGUCUCAUGUAAGGAAUUGAACGAUGCAUGAGAGCAGAUUUUUAUCUGCAGAUAGAUGAUUACCCUCGAAACAUUUUUCCUGAAAGUGUUUACGAGACGAAACAUGGCUUAUAGAA